rnacentral:rRNA from 1 species
AUUGAACGCUGGCGGCAUGCCUUACACAUGCAAGUCGAACGGCAGCGCGGACUUCGGUCUGGCGGCGAGUGGCGAACGGGUGAGUAAUACAUCGGAACGUACCCUGUUGUGGGGGAUAACUAGUCGAAAGAUUAGCUAAUACCGCAUACGACCUGAGGGUGAAAGUGGGGGACCGCAAGGCCUCACGCAGCAGGAGCGGCCGAUGUCUGAUUAGCUAGUUGGUGGGGUAAAGGCCCACCAAGACGACGAUCAGUAGCUGGUCUGAGAGGACGAUCAGCCACACUGGGACUGAGACACGGCCCAGACUCCUACGGGAGGCAGCAGUGGGGAAUUUUGGACAAUGGGGGCAGCCCUGAUCCAGCAAUGCCGCGUGUGUGAAGAAGGCCUUCGGGUUGUAAAGCACUUUUGUCCAGAAAGAAAUCGCGCUGGUUAAUACCUGGCGUGGAUGACGGUACCGGAAGAAUAAGCACCGGCUAACUACGUGCCAGCCGCCGCGGUAA